UUGAACGCUGGCGGCAGGCCUAACACAUGCACGUCGAGCGGAUGAAGGGAGCUUGCUCCUGGAUUCAGCGGCGGACGGGUGAGUAAUGCCUAGGAAUCUGCCUGGUAGUGGGGGAUAACGUCCGGAAACGGGCGCUAAUACCGCAUACGUCCUGAGGGAGAAAGUGGGGGAUCUUCGGACCUCACGCUAUCAGAUGAGCCUAGGUCGGAUUAGCUAGUUGGUGGGGUAAGGGCCUACCAAGGCGACGAUCCGUAACUGGUCUGAGAGGAUGAUCAGUCACACUGGAACUGAGACACGGUCCAGACUCCUACGGGAGGCAGCAGUGGGGAAUAUUGGACAAUGGGCGAAAGCCUGAUCCAGCCAUGCCGCGUGUGUGAAGAAGGUCUUCGGAUUGUAAAGCACUUUAAGUUGGGAGGAAGGGCAGUAAGUUAAUACCUUGCUGUUUUGACGUUACCAACAGAAUAAGCACCGGCUAACUUCGUG
rnacentral:rRNA from 1 species